rnacentral:rRNA from 1 species
AUUGAACGCUGGCGGCAGGCUUAACACAUGCAAGUCGAGCGAGUGGCGGACGGGUGAGUAAUGUCUGGGAAACUGCCUGAUGGAGGGGGAUAACUACUGGAAACGGUCGCUAAUACCGCAUACCAUCAGAUGUGCCCAGAUGGGAUUAGCUGGUAGGUGGGGUAAUGGCUCACCUAGGCGACGAUCCCUAGCUGGUCUGAUCGGAUGACCAGCAACACUGGAACGGAGACACGGUCCAGACUCCGACGGGAGGCAGAAGGGGGGAAUAUUGCACAAUGGGCGCAAGCCUGAUGCAGCCAGUCCGCGGGUGGGAAGAAGGCCUUCGGGUUGUAAAGCACUUUCAGCGAGGAGGCGUUACUCGCAGAAGAAGCACCGGCUAACUCCGUGCCAGCAGCCGCGGUAAUUC